rnacentral:rRNA from 1 species
UACGUAGGGUGCAAGCGUUGUUCGGAUUCAUUGGGCGUAAAGGGUGUGUAGGUGGCGCGCUAAGUCGGGUGUGAAAUUUCGGAGCUUAACUCCGAAACUGCAUUCGAUACUGGCGUGCUUGAGGACUGGAGAGGAGACUGGAAUUCAUGGUGUAGCAGUGAAAUGCGUAGAGAUCAUGAGGAAGACCAGUGGCGAAAGCGCUCUGCUGGACUGCAACUGACACUCAGGGACGAAAGCUAGGGGAGCGAAUGGG